rnacentral:rRNA from 1 species
UACAGAGGUCUCAAGCGUUUGUUCGGAUUCAUUGGGCGUAAAGGGGCGCGUAGGCUGCGGGGCAAGUCGGGUGUGAAAUCUCAGAGCUCAACUCUGAAACUGCACUCGAUACUGCUUUGCUUGAGGGACUGGAGAGGAGAUUGGAAUUCACGGUGUAGCAGUGAAAUGCGUAGAUAUCGUGAGGAAGACCAGUGGCGAAGGCGGAUCUCUGGACAGUUCCUGACGCUGAGGCGCGAAGGCCAGGGGAGCAAACGGG